UACGUAGGAUCCAAGCGUUGUCCGGAUUUACUGGGUGUAAAGGGUGCGCAGGCGGACUUAUAAGUCAGGGGUGAAAUCUCGCUGCUCAACAGCGAAACUGCCUUUGAUACUGUAGGUCUUGAAUUAGGGAGAGAUUCGUGGAAUUCCGAGUGUAGCAGUGAAAUGUGUAGAUAUUCGGAAGAACACCAGAGGCGAAGGCAGCGAAUUGGCCCUAUAUUGACGCUCAGGCACGAAAGCAUGGGAUCAAACAGG
rnacentral:rRNA from 1 species